rnacentral:rRNA from 1 species
GACGAACGCUGGCGGCGUGCUUAACACAUGCAAGUCGAACGGAAAGGCCCUGCUUUUGUGGGGUGCUCGAGUGGCGAACGGGUGAGUAACACGUGAGUAACCUGUCCUUGACUUUGGGAUAACUUCAGGAAACUGGGGCUAAUACCGGAUAGGAGCUCCUGCUGCAUGGUGGGGGUUGGAAAGUUUCGGCGGUUGGGGAUGGACUCGCGGCUUAUCAGCUUGUUGGUGGGGUAGUGGCUUACCAAGGCUUUGACGGGUAGCCGGCCUGAGAGGGUGACCGGCCACAUUGGGACUGAGGUACGGCCCAGACUCCUACGGGAGGCAGCAGUGGGGAAUAUUGCACAAUGGGCGGAAGCCUGAUGCAGCAACGCCGCGUGCGGGAUGACGGCCUUCGGGUUGUAAACCGCUUUCGCCUGUGACGAAGCGUGAGUGACGGUAAUGGGUAAAGAAGCACCGGCUAACUACGUG